GACGAACGCUGGCGGCGUGCUUAACACAUGCAAGUCGAACGGAAAGGCCCUGCUUUUGUGGGGUGCUCGAGUGGCGAACGGGUGAGUAACACGUGAGUAACCUGCCCCUGACUUUGGGAUAACUUCAGGAAACUGGGGCUAAUACUGGAUAGGAGCUCCUGCUGCAUGGUGGGGGUUGGAAAGGUUCGGCGGUUGGGGAUGGACUCGCGGCUGAUCAGCUUGUUGGUGGGGUAGUGGCUUACCAAGGCUUUGACGGGUAGCCGGCCUGAGAGGGUGACCGGCCACAUUGGGACUGAGAUACGGCCCAGACUCCUACGGGAGGCAGCAGUGGGGAAUAUUGCACAAUGGGCGGAAGCCUGAUGCAGCAACGCCGCGUGCGGGAUGACGGCCUUCGGGUUGUAAACCGCUUUCGCCUGUGACGAAGCGUGAGUGACGGUAAUGGGUAAAGAAGCACCGGCUAACUACGUG
rnacentral:rRNA from 1 species